GAAGCGAGAAGCUGAGCCAUUUGGGUCUUAAGGACAACUCUAGGAUUCUUGCUAGGCGGGUUUCUACUGAAGAGGGCAAGGCACUUAAAGAUGAAUUGAUGGCUGAGGAAGAACGCUCUACCAGGCUUUCUCGAGUCAAGGCAGCUGCUACUGCUCUAGCUAACAGGCAUGCUAAUGGUUUUCUCCCAGUUGAAGAUUUCAAUAUAGAACUUGAAGAUCAAAGUGGACAGAAAGUUAAUCUUGGGUCUGAAACUGACCAAAGGGCAAUCAUGAUGGGCCUUAUGCUUCAUGCAAAUGCAAAGCAGCUGAUAAGAAAGGGAACUUACA
rnacentral:misc_RNA from 1 species